rnacentral:rRNA from 1 species
AGUCGAACGGCAGCAUGAUCUAGCUUGCUAGAUUGAUGGCGAGUGGCGAACGGGUGAGUAGUACAUCGGAACGUGCCCUGUAGUGGGGGAUAACUAGUCGAAAGAUUAGCUAAUACCGCAUACGACCUGAGGGUGAAAGUGGGGGACCGCAAGGCCUCAUGCUAUAGGAGCGGCCGAUGUCUGAUUAGCUAGUUGGUGAGGUAAAGGCUCACCAAGGCGACGAUCAGUAGCUGGUCUGAGAGGACGAUCAGCCACACUGGGACUGAGACACGGCCCAGACUCCUACGGGAGGCAGCAGUGGGGAAUUUUGGACAAUGGGCGAAAGCCUGAUCCAGCAAUGCCGCGUGUGUGAAGAAGGCCUUCGGGUUGUAAAGCACUUUUGUCCGGAAAGAAAUGGCUCUGGUUAAUACCUGGGGUCGAUGACGGUACCGGAAGAAUAAGGACCGGCUAACUACGUGCCAGCAGCCGCGGUAAUACGUAGGGUCCAAGCGUUAAUCGGAAUUACUGGGCGUAAAGCGUGCGCAGGCGGUUGUGCAAGACCGAUGUGAAAUCCCCGAGCUUAACUUGGGAAUUGCAUUGGUGACUGCACGGCUAGAGUGUGUCAGAGGGGGGUAGAAUUCCACGUGUAGCAGUGAAAUGCGUAGAGAUGUGGAGGAAUACCGAUGGCGAAGGCAGCCCCCUGG